GAAAAGGGCUUCUGUCCUGAGUGGCACAAGAAGAGCAGCCUAAUUGCUCUACAUGUGGAAUCAGGAUCAAGAGAUUUCAGAAGCAUAGUUUUUUGGUACUUGGGCAGCUGGUGAUCGUUGGUCCUGGUGCCCGC